CUUGACUGUAGCCUGGAAUUGGGUUCGGGCUUUUCUUGCGCAGCCUAGGUGGGAGGCUAUGAAGAUUUCCUUCCGGGGAAGUUGGAGCCAUCAGUGAGAGACCACUCUGGAGAGGCUAGAAUCCUAAUGGUGAUCCUUGAAUCAGGACACUUGACAGUUUCAGGUGGGCAGUUUUUCUGGGGCGGAAGCCUCAUAAAGGGUAACUGAGGCGCGCAAAGGUCCCCUCAGUCUGGACGGAAAUCAGACAACGAGUGUAAAGGCAAAAGGGGGCUUGACUGCAAGACCUACAAGUCGAGCAGGAGCGAAAGCUGGCCUUAGUGAUCCGACGGUGCCGCAUGGAAGGGCCGUCGCUCAACGGAUAAAAGUUA
rnacentral:rRNA from 1 species